rnacentral:lncRNA from 1 species
AUCAAAUUUCUGAAUUUUCCUUCGACACUAACAUUUGUGUUUGUUUUAGUUGCGGCAUUCAUUCUCCCCACUCCUCACCAGCCUUCGACGGUGGGUAUAUAAGGAGGUUCGACACAUCAGUCCAGCUCAGUCAGCUGGGGGACUGCGAGCCAGAAGGUGCUCUACUCUCCCACUUCAGACCAGCUUUCGACGGAGGGUAUAUAAGGAGGCCAGAAGCAUCAGUCCAGCUCAGUCAGCUGCGGGACUGCGAGCUAGAAGGAGCUCUCCACUCCAGCCACCUUGACAUACUUGCGGCAUUCCUUCUCCCCACUCCUCACCAGCCUUCGACGGAGGGUAUAUAAGGAGGUUCGACACAUCAGUCUAGCUCAGUCGCCUGCGGAACUACGAGCAAGAAGGACCUCCUCCCUCUCCACUCCUGGUCAGCUUGCAGAAAAGCUAAGUAGAAUUAUCCAUCAUUUAUUGACUAUCACCCAUAUCCUUACUGGUGGUUCGAUAAUCCAACACAUUACCAAAUGCAACCGUCAAGCUGCUUGAGGCUUUUUUACGAGCUGUCGGUACGCUUUUCAUUUUGGCAAUGAGAUUCAGCCACCGGCAGGUUGUCACGCUCCGGCGUGGAUCUAAGAAUCCUGCAUAGGAGUUGUUCCUCGCUGAUAUGGGAGUGUACAGAGCAGCUCGAAAGAUUGCCUGCCACCUUGACGUUGCUUUGUUUUGAUUUACGUAUCGAUUUUUAGAGUUAAAGGCAUUUAAUUUCGUAGACAUUUGUUGGUUUAUUAUUCCAAAUUCUAUUAUAGUGAAUAAGAUCCCAGACAUACAUUUAAUGAACCUAUGACUUAUCCUUUGAUAUUAAUAUUUGUUUUAGGUGCGGCAUUCCUUCUCCUCACUCUCGACCAGCCUUCGAUGGAGGAGUAUAUAAGUCGGCUCGAUAGAAUGAGUCUUAUAUUAUUAGAUCGACAAAGCAAUGCUGCGCUAAUGCAUGAAGUAUUUUUUCACCAUGAUGAUUCGAAAUCGUCGCAAUGUAUCAGCAACAUCAGAAAAAGGCGCAAAAGUCAAAAUCUCAUAAUGGAAAUAAAGCAGAGGAAACAAUAGCCAUGCGAGCUAGCAGCAAGCUAGACAGACAGAGAUAAAGGCAAUGACGGGGCUCAGUCUACAAAGCGUACAGCCUGCCAAAGUGCCUGCUGUGGAUUCGGUCCACGUAUGCGUCGUCGAUUAUCUCUAGCGCAGCUCUCAUCGACUCGACCCCCUCUGGCAACAGCAGCAACAAACCGUCAUUAGUGUCGUCAAAUAUUCCACGACCGUGCAGCAACCGCCCUACGCCGCUGUUGCUAUUGCAGCUGCAAGCUUUUUCAGCUGUUAGGCUGGAUUUCGUUUCGGAGAAGAGUGUCAUUAUGGCAUCAAGUGGUAGGGGCCUACUACUGAGCUCGGAUCCCUGCACGAGACAUCUUCGUCCGGAUUCCAUGCCGACGAGCAAUGGCCCCAUUCGCGCGUUUGUCCCAGCAGUUUAUACAAAGCCCGACAAUUUCCGUUGGAAACUCUCGACACGAAUACUUCUCGUCAGCUAGCAGUCGCUGCGAAUCAAUCAGCCGAACAACCGAGUCUGUCCGCGCGGACACACCGCAUCGCAGCCGCACCUCAACAGGUCCACCGCCAACGACGAGCUAUACAACUCUGCGAACGACCGCGAGAACAACUUUCGACCAGUCAGGCAUUCUUGAAUUCAUGCGCGAUGAUCAUCGGCGUUUCAGCAUCGGUUAUCAGGCUCUAAAAUACGCACGACCGUCCCCGGUUUACGCGUCGUCGAUAACAAUCGACCGCUCCUCGUUAUAUGUAUAUAUAGAUCGAGAUAACAGCGCGGCGGAGGAAUAUUUUCCAGCGAUCGUUCGCAAACAUCAGCGCAUCAUUAGCGUGUGUGCCUACAUCAAGUAUCCGAUCGCUCGCUGGCAAAAAGCGCAGCUGCUGCAGCUUGCUGAAAAAACACGCGGCUCUAUCUCCCCCGUCGAGUCUGGAAAAACAGCGGAAUUAGCAGAAAAUGAAGCAGCGCGUGUGUACACUUAAUAUUUCGCGGGGGCAUUUUCAUGCUCGAUAGCAGCAGCAGCUGUAUAUUUCGCGCGAAAAUAAAUUGGGGAGAGACUCGCCGGGUGCGUAUGUUUGCCCGUCCAAUUAAUCGCUCGGCGGCGCAGUAGGAUCGCCUCUGCGUGCCCCCCCCCCCCUAUACACUCGAAAAAGCGUACACGCGUACACGGCUGUGACAAACACACGGCGGGAGAGAAAGCUCUUUGAUCGCGCGGGCGAAUUGGCCUUUUCGCUUUAUGUAUGUAUAUCUUUGUGUUUUAAUUAAUUAAUGCGUAUUACGCGCGACUGUUUUAUUAAAUAUGCGCUGCACACACACACACACAAAAGCGCAUAUGCAAUAUGUAGUCACCAAUGUAUGUGACAAAGCCAGGCGACACAGCGCACACGCAGCUGGCUUUUGAUCGAAUUAUUUAAUUCUUUAUUUCUCCGCUAAUUGAAUAUUGACCGCGCAUUUGUUUCCCGAUGAAAUUCCCGAUGUAUUAUAACAAUGCACGAGCUCGUUCGCUAUAAUACAAUUUAUAUACGUAUAUGCCGCGCCGCAUUAACUCGACGCGCGCGAUUUACAGCCGUUUAUUCAGAACUGCGCGAAAUACGACGACGAAUAUGUCUAUAAGUAGCAGCGAACUUGGAUGUGAUACGGUGGAAUCAAUUCCCGCGUGUGAUAUAGCCGGCAACGAACUAUACUUUAAUUACCGGGUCAUAUUCGACGGAAUUUUAGUAGUUCGUUAAAUCCGGCAGUUAAAUUUUAUAGGCACUCGCGCGCGCGAGUAUUACAGGUCAAUCGU